GCACCCCGCUGACGAGCGGGGACGGGAGAGUAAUGCUUAGGAAUCUGCCCAGUAGUGGGGGAUAGCCCGGGGAAACCCGGAUUAAUACCGCAUACGUCCUACGGGAGAAAGCAGGGGAUCUUCGGACCUUGCGCUACUGGAUGAGCCUAAGUCGGAUUAGCUAGUUGGUGGGGUAAAGGCCUACCAAGGCGACGAUCCGUAGCUGGUCUGAGAGGAUGAUCAGCCACAUCGGGACUGAGACACGGCCCGAACUCCUACGGGAGGCAGCAGUGGGGAAUAUUGGACAAUGGGGGCAACCCUGAUCCAGCCAUGCCGCGUGUGUGAAGAAGGCUUUCGGGUUGUAAAGCACUUUCAGCGAGGAGGAAGGCUCUGAAGUUAAUACCUUCAGGGAUUGACGUUACUCGCAGAAGAAGCACCGGCUAACUCCGUGCCAGCAGCCGCGGUAAUACGGAGGGUGCAAGCGUUAAUCGGAAUUACUGGGCGUAAAGCGCGCGUAGGUGGUUAGGUAAGCGAGAUGUGAAAGCCCCGGGCUUAACCUGGGAACGGCAUUUCGAACUGUCUGACUAGAGUGUGGUAGAGGGUAGUGGAAUUUCCUGUGUAGCGGUGAAAUGCGUAGAUAUAGGAAGGAACACCAGUGGCGAAGGCGGCUACCUGGACCAGCACUGACACUGAGGUGCGAAAGCGUGGGGAGCAACAGGAUUAGAUACCCUGGUAGUCCACGCC
rnacentral:rRNA from 1 species